CUCCCUGUGACCCUGAGAGCGUGACUGCAGUACUCAAGUGUGACUCUCGCACGGUAAAUGUGGCGUGGCAUGCUGCCGCUGGUGCCAGCAUGUACACGGUCCUGGCACAAACACAGAAUCAGAGCAUUCCUCCCUCUUCCUGUCGUACCUCGGCCACUUCCUGUGACCUCACACAAAUCAACUGUGGGGAGGUUUUUAAUGUCACAGUUCUUGCUGAUGACGGAGCCUGCAACAGCUCAGCACGGGUCAGCACUACACUGGAGUCGGCACCAUGUCCUCCGACAAUGAGGCCUACUUCACUGAACUGCAGCACUAAUGUGGCCCUUGUAUCCUGGGUGAAGGACCCAGAUGCUGUGAGUGUCCAUGUCAAUGCCACCUCUGUCCUGGGACACACUGCCUCCUGCAGCUCUUCUGCAAACAACUGUUCCCUGGAUGCCUUGCUAUGUGGUCAGACGUACAGUGUGUAUGGUGUGGCCCAGGGCCCUCAGUGUGAGAGUGCACCUAGUGCUCCAUUCAGUAUUGACACAGCCCCCUGCACCCCUGCCAAAGUGAGCGCUAAUUACAGCUGCGGCACCAGCACAGAGCUGAGCUGGACUGAGAGUCUGGGCCGAGACAGCUUCUAUGUGCUUGCACAGACGAACGGUCACUCAGACUCCUGCAGCACAGUCCAAACUCACUGCUCCAUCAAUUCACUGAGGUGUGGAAGUCUUUAUAAUGUCUCUGUGGAAUCAAUCUCUGGACACUGCAACAGCAGCCACGCAGCCCGCACGCAGCUACAGACAGGUGAACACUUCUACACACAACCCUCAUUUACCUGCGCAAACAUUUCAACUCUUUCUCUGAUGAUUUACUGA
ensembl:lncRNA